GUGCCCGGCCGAUUAUGAAGGCCCAAUGCCUGCAUACAACACUGAGGAGUGUGAGGUGUCGUGCAUGAAGUUGAGCGACAGUACGGAUGCCGUACGCUAGCCUGUAUCAAAAAAAAUUGUCAUCGAGGUUGCACCCUCUAAAAAUUAUAUGAAACUUGUAAAGAAAGUGUGCAAAAUCUAGGUGCCACCAGGCAACGCUUUCCCGGCCCGGAUCGCAUUUGAAGAUGGGAACUCGAAACGGCCGCGAGAGAGACCACCGUGGUAUAACCGAUUAUAAUCGCCAGCUGCACUCGGCUGGUGUGCCUAGGAAUGACGGGGCAUGAGUCAGAUGAGACCCUAUGAACCCUACUUCUCAACUGCUGAGGUGAAUCCAGUGUCACAGCAAACGCGUCCUCUGCAGGGGCGUAAGUAUCGCGACAGCCUAUGUCACUUUCGACUCAUCAGCUUUGUUUUUCGGUGUUAUUUCUUUGUGGAUAUUAGGGCUUUGCCCUAUGUGUAACGGUUAUGAGAUUGAAUACAAUGACACAAAUAAUUUGAGCAAAGAGUUCAGCAAUAGCACCAAUUGUGUUGAGGGCGUAGCGGGUGAAGCAGGCGCGGCCGUAGAAUAUUUUUUUAUGUGUCUAGCCGUGUGUUUUUACGUAUGUGUGGUAUGCAUUAGUGGUUUUGACGAUGGCUUUGGGGAUGAGGAGGGGGAAAUAUUGAGGUGCAUUCAGAGCCGAUCGAAGAACACACGUCUCCUGGGGCAGUCCAGCUGUCUGCUCGGCAGGGAUACAAAGAGUGCGAAACAGCCAGUGCUCCAUAGCUCCUCGUGGUGUACACUUCGUCGCAGACCUCGGCUAGCUUCAUAGUUACCCAGUGCUCCACACCAUGUCUCCAUCGGGUGAACAGGUGAGUGUGCCUCAUAGGCCGUACCGGUGUUUGAAGUGUUGGUGUUGUGUAUAACGCGCGAGUGCUCCCCUCACCGUGUGUUGCGUGGUGGGGGCCCGCCAGCGGAGCAGGUCCGGCCGCCCGCCGGAUCGCACUCAACCCCUUCGCGGCUGAUCGAUGAUAGUCCGCAGACAUAUAGUGAUUUCAUUUUAAUUUGCAGGCCAAAAAGAGAGGAUUAAGCGACAGCGAGAGCGAGAGCGAGGAAAACCCCGCUGAAGUCAAGAGCAGAAGGGUGUCCACGAAAACGGCCAGAGAGAGAUCCUCUAGCGAGAAUAGCAACAUAAGUGGCAGCGGCAGCAGCAGCGAAAGCGGCAGCGACAGCGACAGCGGCAGCGACAGCGACAGCGGCAGCGACAGCGGCAGCGACAGCGACAGCGGCAGCGACAGUGACAGCGACAGGAGCACUUGCACCACUAAAACCAAGACCGCCGACACUAGUGCAUCGGGUAGCAACACGAGUAUUACCAGCACCACCGGACGGUGGAGCUUAGAUGUUUUGGAUGUGCGGGCGGUGCCAGUGCGCGGCUCUCCCACCCUCACGCCAGACCGCCUCCGAUCAAUCUUUUCGCCGACGGACCCAGUGAUGCGCACGGCUCAGGUGGCAGUUCAGGCGGCCCCUUCAAAUCAUGGAACGUCGGGAUCGCAAAAUGCCGAACCUGCAACACGUCCCUCGGGAGGUCGGUUGCCCGUGAGAAGGGAUCGUGAGAACGCCCUCGACCUCAGCAGAGCGAGCUCUCAGGGGUCAGCUGAGCCGAGGCGCAGGGCUCAGCUGAACUCUGCACCUGGCCACCGUUAUGAGGACCCUAUGUUACGGGGGCAAUCUGCUUGUCAUAGGCGUGAGGUGGUGAGCUGUUUGCGGUGCAAUGAGACAUCGCUAGCGGCGACAGACGACGAGGAAGAAGCGCGUGACGUUGCGCCCCGCGCCACACCUCGCAAUGAGAGAGACGUUACGCCCCGCGCCGCGCCUCGCAGGGAGGGAGGACCCCGCACCACGGCUCCAAACAAGAGAGAGGUUACGCCCCGCGCCCCGCCUCGCAGGGAGGGAGGGCCCCGCGCCACG